CUCCCUGAGGGGACACGCCCUCUCGUGACAUCAUCUUGCUCCGCACCUCCCAGAGCUGGAGCUUUCCGGAGCCCCAUGACCUAACCAAGACACCGGAUUCGUCGACUGCGAGAGACGAGCUUCGCCCUGUCUGAGCUGGACACCCCAGGCCUCCUCAGGUCCCGGAGUUUCCCACGGCUUAGAACAUUGAACUCUUUAGCCAGCAUUGAUUGGAUCUACUCUAUCUGACACCGGAGAAAGAAUUCCAGGAUGAGUUUUGAUUUCCAUUCCUGAAGGGAGUAACCAAAUCAAAGAGAAGAUCCGAAGAUCCAUAGAUCCCAUGGAAUCCUGGGGGAACCCUGUAAUAAUAGAAAAUUUAGAAUGGAGGUUUCGGCUGCAAAAAAAAUCCCAUACUUAACAAAGGUCAACUGAGGCACUACUGAUGUACCAGUGAGCAAUCUUCCUAGCAGAAAAGCUCCUUCCCAAAUGAAGGCAUGGCAAGCUGAGCAGUGCAUCCCAGUGAAGAGAUUAAUCGGCCAGUUGUUGCCUCACAAACAAUCUUUCUUAAUGGAUGAUGCCCCCCAAAAGUGGCACAGAUUUGAUAGAAUGUAGGAUUUGUGCUGUCUGUCCGGUGUACUCUCCAUCAUUUCCUGUGAUGGCCCCACUGGACAUCUGCAUGUUGAUUUCAUCUGCAUGCCCAAGUCUGGUUAAGAAAUGACAAGUAGGAGAACUUGGACCUGGAAAACCUUACAAGUGAAGUGAAGAAAGCAGAACCAAGAGAACAUUGUACUCAGUGACAAGAACACUUUACGAUGAACAACUGUGAAUAAUAGCUCUUCUCAGAAACACAGUGACCCAAAACUAUACCAAUGGACUCAUGAUUUUAAAAAAAGUCUGUGUAUUUUCAUAGAAAAAGAAGAGUCUGAAUCCAGACCAAAGAAAACUUUUUUCCCUUUCUUAAUAUUUUUUUAUUUAAGUUUCUUUCCACAAAAGAAUUAAUAUUGAAAAAUGUUUUACAUGAUUGCACAUGUAAAAUCUAUGAGAUUGCUUACCAUCUCUAGGGGUGGGAGUAGGGGUUGGAGGGGAUAGAGGGAGGGAGAGAAUCUGAGACUCACUAUUCUUUGAAAAAUGUGAGAAACUGGUUUUUUUUACAUGUAACUGGGGGAAAAUAAAAUUUAAAAUGUGAUAUAUGGAAAAAGCCA
rnacentral:lncRNA from 1 species